GAAAUGCGAUAAGUAAUGUGAAUUGCAGAAUUCAGUGAAUCAUCGAAUCUUUGAACGCACCUUGCGCUCCCUGGUAUUCCGGGGAGCAUGCCCGUUUCAGAAUCAUUAAAAUUCUCACGACCCCACUGUUUUCGGACUUUGGGCAAGUGGAUCUGGAUGCUUUGUGUUUUGCAAUCGUCUUAAAAUGAUCGUAUGUGCACCAAUUGGCGUAUCAAUUGGGUUCCGAAGUGCAACAGAUUUAUCUAUUCGCUGAGGUCAAUCCGAUUGGUCACCUUCCGGAGUGCGUGCUCCAACUAUUACACAGCGGUUGCAUCGGUAGAUGUCAGCUUCUGAUAACUUGGUCUGAAAUCGGGCAAGAAAACCCGCUGAACUUAA
rnacentral:misc_RNA from 1 species